rnacentral:tRNA from 1 species
GCCGGUCUGGCCUAGUGGUUUGAGCAUUGGACUAUGACUCUGGAGACCAGGGUUCAAAUCCUCACUCAGCCA